CUCCCUGGCAUUGGUCAAAGAGACACCUUGUUGGUGGAAUCGUUCUUAUAUCAGUCGGGCGGAGCAGAUGGCAGUCCUUUGUUCAUCCUACCUAGCUUGCCUGGCGUGGUGGCCAAUGCUGUUUUAUGUCUAGGACACAUAA